rnacentral:tRNA from 1 species
GUGCUGGUGGCCGGCGCCGCCUUCCAGUUCGUCGCGCAGGACGCCGCCGAGGUGCAGAACUCCUUCACCUACGGCGGUGCCACGCUGCUCCAGUACCC